rnacentral:rRNA from 1 species
AUGGGAGAAUUUGCGGCGGCGGGCGAGGCGGGGAGCCAAGAAGCGGAGCAAGACGAGCAGGGGAUGCUCGCGACGGCGCUGGACGCCAUAAACUCUCUCAUCUCUGCUUCCUUCUCCGCGUCCCUCUUCCCGCUCAAGUGGCAGCUCAUCAGGGACAAGUUCAACCGGCUCCACGCCGGCCUCGCGGACAUCACCGUCAUCGCGGCCUCCGACGGCGAGGAGAGGCACGAGGCGUUCGAUGGCCUCCUACGGGACGUCGUUGACGCGGUGAGGGAGGCGCGGGAGCUGGUGCCGCGGAGCCAGGGGCGGCACUACGGAGGCGGCAAGCUGCGGCUGCGGAGCGACCUCGACGUCGUCGCGUCCACGCUCGACACGCACCUGGCGCGGCUGGACGAGAUAUGCGCCUCGGGCUCGCUCACGCGCGCGCGGGCGCUCGUGGUGCCGCGGCCGUGCGCCGGCGCCAGCCGCGAGGACCUGCGGUUCUACGUGCGCGACCUCUUCGCCAGGCUCAGGGUCGGCGGAGCGGAGAUGCGGAGGGAGGCCGCCGCCGCGCUCAAUGAGGUGCUGCGCGACGACGACAAGUGCGUGCGGGUCGUCGUGUCCGACGUCGCCGACGGAAUUGGCGUUCUCAUUGGGCUGCUCGAGUCCCCAGACGCUCGCGUCCAAGAAGAGGCCCUGGACGCCAUCUCGGUGAUCGCCGGGUAUGACGCUUCUUGCAAAGGCGACCUUGUCGGCGGCGGCGUCAUCGCUCCGGUGAUCCGGGUUCUUAACACGGGCGCCGGGACGGCGGCGAAGGAGCGGGCGGCGCGUGUGCUCAGCAAGCUCACCGAGAACGCCGACAACGCGUGGGCCGUCGCCGCGCACGGCGGCGUCACGGCAUUGAUCAACAUCUGCUCCGAUCACCGUACCAGCGGCGGCGAGCUCGUGUGCGCGGCGUGCCGGGUGCUGAGGAGCCUCGUGGGCGUCGAGGAGAUAAGGAAGUACAUGGUGGCCGACGCCGGGGCGGUACCGGUGCUCGUGUCGCUCUUGCAGGGCCCCGCGGACGAGGGGGCGCAAAUCCAGGCAAUGGAGCUCCUCGCGGCGAUCGCCUCCGGAGAUAGCUCAUCCAGGGAGGUCGUGCUCCAAGAAGGCACCGCCGAGUCCCUCGUCCGCGCGCUGGACCCGGGCAUCCCGCGCUCUUCAAAGGCACGGGAGGUGGCGCUCCGCGCCAUCGACGCGCUCUGCUUCUCGUUGCCAGACUCGAUCGACCGGCUCAUCGGCGCCGUCUUCCUCAACCGGGUGCUCUUCUUCCUCCGCAACGGCGACACCACGCUGCAGCACAGCGCCUUAAAAGCAGCGCACCGGCUGUGCCACGUGUCGGAGGAGACCAAGAAGGCGAUGGGGGACGCCGGGUUCAUGCCGGAGCUGGUGGGCAUCGUCCAGGCGGCCAAAUCCAUCGAGGCGAGGGAGUUGGCCGCGGAGGCGCUCUGCGCCAUGAUGUCCGUGCACCGCAACCGGAAGCGCUUCGUCCAGGAUGACCGCAACGUGGCGCAGGUACUGCAGCUGCUAGGCCCCGACGAGGAGAAACCCUCGCCGGCGAAGCGGUUCUUGCUGUCGACACUGGUGCAUCUGGCGGACAGCAACUCCGGCCGGAGGAAGAUCAUGUCAUCGGAGCACGUGAGGAACCUCGAGAAGCUUGCAGAGACCAACGUGACAGACGCUAAGAAGAUCGUGAAGAAGCUUGGCGGGAGCAAGCUGAGGAACAUGUUCCAUGGCAUUUGGAGCCUGUGA